rnacentral:rRNA from 1 species
GUGAGUCAUCGAAUCUUUGAACGCACCUUGCGCUCCUUGGUAUUCCGAGGAGCAUGCCUGUUUGAGUGUCAUAAACCUCUCAAACCCAAGUUUUGGAUUUAUCCUUGCUUGAGUUUGGAUUUGGGUGUUUGCCAGUGAUGAACUGACUCACCUUAAAAGUAUUAGCUAGAUCUGUCUUUGACUGGUUUGACUUGGCAUAAUAAGUAUUUCGCUAAGGACAUCUUCGGAUGGCCGCGUUGCAGGACUAAAGACCGCUUUCUAAUCCAUUGAUCUUACGAUUAAUAUUCUUGACAUCUGGCCUCAAAUCAGGUAGGACUACCCGCUGAACUUAA